rnacentral:miRNA from 1 species
AGCUGCCUGAUGAAGAGCUGUAC